AUAUAUAUUUAUAAUUGUCAUAUCUUCUUCUUGGAUUGAUCCCUUGAUCAUUAUGUAGUGUCCUUCCUUGUCUCUUGUAACAUUCUUUAUUUUUACGUCUAUUUUAUCUGAUAGGAGUAUUGCUACUCCAGCUUUCUUUUGAUUUCCAUUUGCAUGGAAUAUCUUUUUCCAUCCCCUCACUUUCAGUCUGUAUGUGUCCCUAGGUCUGAAGUGGGUCUCUUGUAGACAUCAUAUAGAUGGGUCUUGUUUUUGUAUCCAUUCAGCAAGCCUGUGUCUUGUGGCUGGAGCAUUUAAUCCAUUCACGUUUAAGGUAAUUAUCAAUAUGUAUGUUCCUAUGACCAUUUUCUUAAUUGUUUUGGGUUUGUUUUUGUAGUUCUUUUCCUUCUCUUGUGUUUCCUGCCUAGAGAAGUUCCUUUAGCAUUUGUUGUAAGGCUGGUUUGGUGGUGCUGAAUUUUCUUAACUUUUUCUUGUCUGUAAAGGUUUUAAUUUCCCCAUCGAAUCUGAAUGAGAUUGUUGCUCGGUAGAGUAAUCUUAGUUUUUUCUCUUUCAUCAUUUUAAAUAUGUCCUGCCACUCCCUUCUAGCUUGCAGAAUUUCUGCUGAAAGAUCAGCUGUUAACCUUAUGGGGUUUCCUUUGUAUGUUAUUUGUUGCUUUUCCCUUGCUGCUUUUAAUAUUUUUUCUUUGAAUUUAAUUUUUGAUAGCUUGAUUAAUAUGUGUCUUGGCAUGUUUCUCCUUGGAUUUAUCCUGUAUGGGACUCUCUGUGCUUCCUGGACUUGACUGUCUAUUUCCUUUCCCAUGUUAAGGACGUUUUGAACUAUAAUCUCUUCACAUAUUUUCUCAGACCCUUUCUUUUUCUCUUCUUCUGGGACCCCUAUAAUUCAAAUGGUGGUGCAUUUAAUGUUGUCUCAGAAGUCUCUGAGACUGUCCACAAUUAUUUUCAUUCUUUUUUCUUUAUUCUGCUCUGCAGUAGUUAUUUCCACUAUUUUAUCUUCCAGGUCACUUAUCCGUUCUUCUGCCUCAGUUAUUCUGCUAUUGAUUCCUUCUAGAGAAUUUUUAAUUUCAUCUAUUGUGUUGUUCAUCAUUGUUUGUUUGCUCUUUAGUUUUGCUAGGUCCUUGUUAGACAUUUCUUGUAUUUUCUCUAUUCUAUUUCCAAGAUUUUGGAUCAUCUUUACUAUCAUUAUUCUGAAUUCUUUUUCAGGUAGACUGCCUAUUUUAUCUUCAUUUGUUUGGUCUAGUGGGGUUUUACCUUGCUCCUUCAUCUGCUGCAUAUUUCUCUGUCUUCUCAUUUUGCUUAACUUA